rnacentral:rRNA from 1 species
GUAUAAGAGACAGCAGCAGCCACGGUAAUACGGAGGGUGCAAGCGUUAAUCGGAAUUACUGGGCGUAAAGCGCACGCAGGCGGUCUGACAAGUCAGAUGUGAAAUCCCCGGGCUUAACCUGGGAACUGCAUUUGAAACUGUCAGGCUGGAGUCUUGUAGAGGGGGGUGGAAUUCCAGGUGUAGCGGUGAAAUGCGUAGAGAUCUGGAGGAAUACCGGUGGCGAAGGCGGCCCCCUGGACAAAGACUGACGCUCAGGUGCGAAAGCGUGGGGAGCAAACAGGAUUAGAUACCCGUGUAGUCCCUGUCUCUUAUAC